UACGUAGGGUGCGAGCGUUAAUCGGAAUUACUGGGCGUAAAGCGUGCGCAGGCGGUUUUGUAAGCCAGAUGUGAAAGCCCCGGGCUUAACCUGGGAAUGGCAUUUGGGACUGCAAGGCUGGAGUACGGCAGAGGGAGGUGGAAUUCCAGGUGUAGCAGUGAAAUGCGUAGAGAUCUGGAGGAACACCGAUGGCGAAGGCAGCCUCCUGGGCUAGUACUGACGCUCAUGCACGAAAGCGUGGGGAGCAAACAGG
rnacentral:rRNA from 1 species